rnacentral:rRNA from 1 species
GAUGAACGCUGGCGGCGUGCCUAAUACAUGCAAGUCGAGCGAACAGAUAAGGAGCUUGCUCCUUUGACGUUAGCGGCGGACGGGUGAGUAACACGUGGGUAACCUACUUAUAAGACUGGAAUAACUCCGGGAAACCGGGGCUAAUGCCGGAUCACAUUUAGAACCGCAUGGUUCUAAAGUGAAAGAUGGUUUUGCUAUCACUUAUAGAUGGACCCGCGCCGUAUUAGCUAGUUGGUAAGGUAACGGCAUACCAAGGCAACGAUACGUAGCCGACCUGAGAGGGUGAUCGGCCACACUGGAACUGAGACACGGUCCAGACUCCUACGGGAGGCAGCAGUAGGGAAUCUUCCGCAAUGGGCGAAAGCCUGACGGAGCAACGCCGCGUGAGUGAUGAAGGUCUUCGGAUCGUAAAACUCUGUUAUUAGGGAAGAACAAAUGUGUAAGUAACUGUGCACGUCUUGACGGUACCUAAUCAGAAAGCCACGGCUAACUACGUG